AUGAACAAAAUAAGAUGCAAGUCUUACCAACCGGAGAGUCGUCCGGUGCACCUUCAAUCUAAUAAGACGAGAAAACCAGAGGUGAGUGCAUUUUAUUUUAAUUCUCCUUCAACUUUUUCUAUUACUCGUUCUGAAUUUCUUUGCGUUUCUGAAUCUAUUCUGUUGCGAUACAUUCUGCGUAAGUUGUUGCAGUUGUUGAGUUGGAGAAGGUUGAUGAAGGUUGGGAGCAAAGAUGAUGAAUGCUAG